AUAUGCAUUUGGCAAGUGCUUUUGCUGGCAUCGGCUUUGGAAAUGCUGGUGUUCAUCUGUGCCAUGGAAUGUCUUACCCAAUUUCAGGUUUAGUGAAGACAUAUAAAGCAAAGGAUUACAAUGUGGAUCACCCACUGGUGCCCCAUGGCCUUUCUGUGGUGCUCACGUCCCCAGCAGUGUUCACUUUCACGGCCCAGAUGUUUCCAGAGCGACACCUGGAGACGGCAGAAAUACUGGGAGCUGACACCCGCACUGCCAGGAUCCAAGAUGCAGGGCUGGUGUUGGCAGACACGCUCCGGAAAUUCUUAUUCGAUCUGGAUGUUGAUGAUGGCCUAGCAGCCGUUGGUUACUCCAAAGCUGAUAUCCCCGCACUAGUGAAAGGAACGCUGCCCCAGUGCCUUUGCUAACAGUAGCCAGACGUCUGAAUGUGACUCACCAAGAGGAGUGUUUGGUAUUCAUAUUGAUGAUGACUCUGUAGAGGAAGAAUUUAAAGGUCAAGCAUGAAGAAACAGAUUUAGGAAGCCUUGGUGUUUUUAUCUGGAUACCCAUCAUUCUGACCAUUACAAU
rnacentral:sRNA from 1 species